GAUGAACGCUGGCGGCGUGCCUAAUACAUGCAAGUCGAGCGAACGGACGAGAAGCUUGCUUCUCUGAUGUUAGCGGCGGACGGGUGAGUAACACGUGGAUAACCUACCUAUAAGACUGGGAUAACUUCGGGAAACCGGAGCUAAUACCGGAUAAUAUUUUGAACCGCAUGGUUCAAAAGUGAAAGACGGUCUUGCUGUCACUUAUAGAUGGAUCCGCGCUGCAUUAGCUAGUUGGUAAGGUAACGGCUUACCAAGGCAACGAUGCAUAGCCGAACGCAGAGGCGGAUCGGCCACACGGGAGCUGAGACACGGUCAAGACUCCUACGGGAGGCAGCAGUAGGCAAUCUUCCGCAAUGGGCGAAAGCCUGACGGAGCAACGCGGCGUGAGUGAUGAAGGCCUUCGGAUCGUAAAACUCUGUUAUUAGGGAAGAACAUAUGUGUAAGUAACUGUGCACAUCUUGACGGUAACUAAUCAGAAAGCCACGGCUAACUACGUG
rnacentral:rRNA from 1 species